GUUUUGCUAAAACUUUCCCAUUGUGUUAGAAGCAGGAAAAAUGAGUUGAAGGGACACUAUCGCACGAAUCGGCCAACUGGCAAAUCGAGAAAUAAGGCUACAUCAGGACUUGCCACUUUGAACAGCUACAAUCUAGUUCCAGCCCGUGAUUAUCGAUGAAUAGUAAGCGCCAGCUACAGUACUGCUGCAUGCAAUAAUGCUCUAUGGGCUGAUAAAAUUUUUACUGGCUUUUAGAUCACAUGGAUUACACAGGAUUAUCUACCUACCAUAAUCUCUCUAUUAUUGGAUACAUUUUAGCAGGUGUUUCUUGAUCCACCCAGAUACUUUUGCAAAAGGAUUUUUAGCCUUACUUUUUCUGUUUUUUUUUUUUGUCUUGCCCUGUUGCUUACAGGUCUCUGAGAAUCUUCUGUCUGACCAUCAACUCAUUGACGAAAAACUUAAUGCACCCAGAUAAAAAUGUUGGA